GACGUAGGUGGCAAGCGUUAUCCGGAAUUAUUGGGCGUAAAGGGUGCGUAGAUGGCCUGAUAAGUUAGCAGUGGGAAAUCGAGGCUCAACCUCGUGGAAGCUGGUAAUACUGUCAGGCUCGAGUGCAGGAGAGGUUAACGGAACUCCAUGUGGAGCGGUAAAAUGUGUAGAUAUAUGGAAGAACACCAAUAACGGCGAAGGCAGUUAACUAUUCUGUUACUGACAUUGAGGCACGAAAGCGUGGGGAGCAAAACGG
rnacentral:rRNA from 1 species